rnacentral:rRNA from 1 species
UACGUAGGGUGCAAGCGUUGUCCGGAAUUAUUGGGCGUAAAGAGCUCGUAGGCGGUUUGUUGCGUCGGCUGUGAAAUCCCGAGGCUCAACCUCGGGUCUGCAGUCGAUACGAGCAAACUAGAGUGUUGCAGGGGAGACUGGAAUUCCUGGUGUAGCGGUGAAAUGCGCAGAUAUCAGGAAGAACACCCGUGGCGGAAGGCGGCUCUCUGGGACGGUACUGGACGCUGAGACGCGAAAGCGUGGGAGCGAACAGG